UCAACUGUUGCAGGACCUCCAAUGUUGUAG
rnacentral:piRNA from 1 species